rnacentral:ncRNA from 1 species
CCCUCAGGAUAGCUGGAACUUACGGCAGUUUUAUCAGGUAAAGCGAAUGAUUAGAGGUCUUAGGGUUAAAACAACCUUAACCUAUUCUCAAACUUUAAAUUGGUAAGAAGUCCGACUUGCUUAAUUGAAGCCGGACAGUGAAUGCGAGUUCCUAGUGGGCCAUUUUUGGUAAGCAGAACUGGCGAUGCGGGAUGAACCGAACGCGCGGUUAAGGUGCCAAAGUCGACGCUCAUCAGACCCCACAAAAGGUGUUGGUUGCUCUAGACAGCAGGACGGUGGCCAUGGAAGUUGGAAUCCGCUAAGGAGUGUGUAACAACUCACCUGCCGAAGCAACUAGCCCUGAAAAUGGAUGGCGCUCAAGCGUCGCACCUAUACCGUGCCGUCGGAGCAGAUGCGAAGCUCCGACGAGUAGGAGGGCGUGGGGGUCGUGACGCAGCCUCUGGCGCGAGCCUGGGUGAAACGGCCUCCAGUGCAGAUCUUGGUGGUAGUAGCAAAUAUUCAAAUGAGAGCUUUGAAGACCGAAGUGGAGAAAGGUUCCAUGUGAACAGCAGUUGGACAUGGGUUAGUCGAUCCUAAGAGAUAGGGAAAUUCCGUUUGCAAGCGCCCGAUCUUGGGCCGCCUAUCGAAAGGGAAUCGGGUUAAUAUUCCCGAACCGGGACGCGGAUAUUGCCGUUCGCGGCAAAUGCGGUAACGCAAACGAACCCGAAGACGCUGGCGGGGGCCCUGGGAAGAGUUCUCUUUUCUUUUUAACGAGCUUUCACCCUGAAAUCAGCUUGCCUGGAGAUAGGGUUUAAUGCUCGGUAAAGCACCACACUUCUUGUGGUGUCCGGUNGCGCUCUCGACGGCCCUGAAAAUUC